AGCCUUUGUGUUGCCCAUUCACUUUUGGAAACUAGUGAAUGUGGUGUCAAAAAAGGCGUAAAUCAAACACUUAAGCAGCCAUUACCUGCCCUUGUAUUUGAUAUCUUUGGUGUAGGAGCUGCGUAAGUAACAGUU
ensembl:snoRNA SNORA13 small nucleolar RNA, H/ACA box 13